rnacentral:rRNA from 1 species
GAUGAACGCUGGCGGCGUGCUUACCACAUGCAAGUCGAACGAAGCACUUAUCUUUGAUUCUUCGGAUGAAGAGGUUUGUGACUGAGUGGCGGACGGGUGAGUAACGCGUGGGUAACCUGCCUCAUACAGGGGGAUAACAGUUAGAAAUGACUGCUAAUACCGCAUAAGACCACGGAGCCGCAUGGCUCAGUGGGAAAAACUCCGGUGGUAUGAGAUGGACCCGCGUCUGAUUAGGUAGUUGGUGGGGUAACGGCCUACCAAGCCAACGAUCAGUAGCCGACCUGAGAGGGUGACCGGCCACAUUGGGACUGAGACACGGCCCAAACUCCUACGGGAGGCAGCAGUGGGGAAUAUUGCACAAUGGGGGGAACCCUGAUGCAGCGACGCCGCGUGAGCGAAGAAGUAUUUCGGUAUGUAAAGCUCUAUCAGCAGGGAAGAAAAUGACGGCACCUGACUAAGAAGCACCGGCUAAAUACGUGCCAGCAGCCGCGGUAAUACGUAUGGUGCAAGCGUUAUCCGGAUUUACUGGGUGUAAAGGGAGCGUAGACGGCUGUGUAAGUCUGAAGUGAAAGCCCGGGGCUCAACCCCGGGACUGCUUUGGAAACUAUGCAGCUAGAGUGUCGGAGAGGUAAGUGGAAUUCCCAGUGUAGCGGUGAAAUGCGUAGAUAUUGGGAGGAACACCAGUGGCGAAGGCGGCUUACUGGACGAUGACUGACGUUGAGGCUCGAAAGCGUGGGGAGCAAACAGGAUUAGAUACCCUGGUAGUCCACGCCGUAAAC